rnacentral:rRNA from 1 species
AGUGAACGCUCGCGGUAGGCCUAACACAUGCAAGUCGAACGGCAGCACAGUAAGAGCUUGCUCUUACGGGUGGCGAGUGGCGGACGGGUGAGGAAUACAUCGGAAUCUACUUUUUCGUGGGGGAUAACGUAGGGAAACUUACGCUAAUACCGCAUACGACCUACGGGUGAAAGCAGGGGAUCUUCGGACCUUGCGCGAUUGAAUGAGCCGAUGUCGGAUUAGCUAGUUGGCGGGGUAAAGGCCCACCAAGGCGACGAUCCGUAGCUGGUCUGAGAGGAUGAUCAGGCACACUGGAACUGAGACACGGUCCAGACUCCUACGGGAGGCAGCAGUGGGGAAUAUUGGACAAUGGGCGCAAGCCUGAUCCAGCCAUACCGCGUGGGUGAAGAAGGCCUUCGGGUUGUAAAGCCCUUUUGUUGGGAAAGAAAAGCAGCAGGUUAAUACCCCGCUGUUCUGACGGUACCCAAAGAAUAAGCACCGGCUAACUUCGUG